rnacentral:lncRNA from 1 species
CCAGAAUGAAAACUAGGCUUUUUUUUUAUUCUUUGGUGCUACGAUGAAAACUGGGCUUUGGUGCCAGGAUGAAAACUGGGCUUUCUUUAUUCUCUGGUGCCAGGAUGAAAACUGGGCUUUCUUUAUUCUCUGGUGCCAGGAUGAAAAUUGAGCUUUAGUGCUAGGAAGAAAACUGGGCUUUGGUGUCAGGAUGAAAACUAGGCUUUUUUAUUUUUUAUUUUUUUCCUUUGGUGCCAGGAUGAAAAUCGGGCUUUAGUGCCAGGAUGAAAACUGGGCUUUGGUGCCAGGAUGAAAACUAGGCUUUUUUAUUCUUUUUUUUUUUUAGUUCUUUCACCGAUGUAUCGUUUGAACGAAACAAUGAAUCCCUUCUGGACGUUGGCGAUGCAUGGUGCGCCAUGCUUUUUUUUUCUUCUCUUUUCUUUGACCCUUUAUGAUGAUGCAUGCAUGAUGAUGUAUGAAGCCUUUGUUAUGGAGAGGCGCAAG